AUUUUAAACAUUUUUCUGUAAUGUUGGUCUUUGUCCUGUCUGCUAAUUGUUUUAAGCUUUUCAUGUAAGGAGGUGGUGCUCUGUUGUUGUUUUAUUGCUUUUUGAAAAAAAAAGACUUGAAACAACAUUGAGAAUAGAAGUAAGAAACAUAUCUAUAGAGAUUUAAUUUAAAUUCAUCAUUAGAAAAAAAUAUUUCAUUUAAAUUAGGCUAAUUCAGUUUUCCAUUGUUAGAUAUUUUUUGGGGGAAAAUAAGGUAAAUUUUUCCCCUUCAACAUGAUCUUUGCAAGCUUAUUCCUACACAAAGUUCUCACUGAAGUCAAUGGAGCACUGAAAAUCUUAGGUAAUUGCCUUGCACAGUUAACACUGCAGUUUGGAUCUUAAUGUGUGACUUCUGUUGGUGGGGGGGGGAUUUUUUUUUUUUUUUCUUUUGAUGAUGCUCAUUACUUCUGUUACUUCUGUUUUUUUUUUUGUACUGAAUCUCCAUUUGUCUUGUCAACAUGUCAUGUAUGCAUUUAGCCAUUAUAGAUUUAUCUAAUUUAAAAUAUUUUGUAUGUAUGGUGAUAACUACUAUUUAAAUAUAAACUAUAAAUAGUUUACCUCCUAGUGCAAUAACAAGAUUUCAAUUUUCCUUUCUUACUGUUGUAGUAUUACUUUGAUUACAUUAAAAAUGCUUUCUUACAUACUGGUACUCCUUUUUGAUCUUAGAUAUCUCUUGAAAAAUGCAGUUAACUGCACAGAAUGCUUCCAGAGUAAAGUGGUUUUAUAACUGUUAGUAAAGAAAAGAUGUUUCCUUUAAGUAGCUCUGAGCCCAUAAUUUACAGAUGUGUUGAAUACAAGGGAAUUCUUACUUUUAAUGUUCCAAAUCUGAAUACAGUUUUAUGAAACAUGGCCCUACUGAUGCUGAAUUGUACAUAGGCAGAUAAAGGGAUUUAGGCAGAGCCCCAUUGACUUCACUGGGAUCAUUGUGGAAUUGAGCACCUGCCCAUUUGAAUCUGGAGUUUUUGCCUUCCUGGAGUGGAAACAUUCCAGCUGGUGGUCUGAAGCUAACUUCACUUUGAGCAUGGUAGCUGUUUUGCCAUGAAAAACAGUAUACUGAAUGAUGGAACCAUAUGCUGCAGCAAGUCUAGAAACGCCUGCUGUCAGCGUGACUUACUGCAAGAGUCAGGUUUUGGUUUAAAAAAUGCUGCUGACUUCUUGGAGUUUGUUAACAAUGAUCCCAGAGUACCAUUUUUUUGGCUCGCUUGCCACUUUGUGAUCUGGAUAGUAUGAGAUUAGUACUGUUGUAAUAAUGGUCUGGGAUAUUCUAGCAAACUCUGGCAAGUCUCCAAUAUUUCCUGGACUCUAAAACUACUUUGAUUGAAGGUUAUAUUGACCUACAAUAUCUUGCCUGUUCUUAUAGCCUUGUUAUAUUUUUGUCUUUGUGAAGCCUAGAUUUUUAGUAACUCUUACAACAAAGAGCCUUUUCUGAUUUAUUCUUUGAACUAAUUCUUAAACCAUGAAGAAGAUAUUGCUGUAUCAACUUUAAGGUUUGGGUAGGCAAAAUAUAUCUGAUGAGAGCCCUGACAACUGAAAAAUUGCCCCUAAAUAAUUGACUAUAAAUUAUUCAGGAGCUUAGUUUUAUGUUUCAUCCAAAUGACCUUAACAUUGGUUCAGUACUGCCAGAGAGGGAAGAUUGCUGCCUAAUGAACAACACUUCCUGGUGUUUUUCUUGUGAUGAGAUCACUGCCUGACGUGGUAUGGCAACAGGCAGAUGACUAGACUGGCCAAGGCAGACCUGUUACACUUGCCUGAGUUAGGCAUUGUUUGCCAUGCCACUAAACCUGCCGUCAAGUGAAACCUUCAUGGGGGAAAUGAGAUCGAAGUCUGGCCUGCUGAAGAUGGACGCCCUGUCUCUGUUUUUAUUUUAUUUUGCUUUCUUUCCUUUUUUUUUUUUCCUUUAUUAUUUUUUUUAAUUUAUUUUUAUUUUAUUUUGUCCCUUUUUGUUUUGUUUUGUUAAAUCUCUUUCCCUUGUACUUGUGAACCGGUACUUCAGUUCUGUAAAAAUGGUGUUUUGUAAAGGGUUCGCAGUGCUUCAUUUUGAAGUUGACCUGAAGCUGCUUAUGAAUGGUGGAUGGUAUACACAGAGUAUGAUUAACUGAUUUUUAUGCUGUGAAUUAUGGAUAAAUUUGGUUUUGAAUACAUGUAAGCAUCUAAAUUCAACGGAUGAGCAUAUUGUGUCAGAAGGCUGGAAUAGUGAAAAAUAGUUAAGAUACAUUCUUUCAUAUUUUAUACUUUACGAGUUCACCUUGGAAAAGGACACUUAAAACUCUUACUUUCUGGAGACAUUAAGUUUGCAAAAUACAGUCAUGAUCUUUCUCUGCUAUUUGCUCCACUUCUCAGCAGAGUAGUUUUUAUUUUAGGUUGCAUGGUCUGUUUAAAAGAAGAUUUUCUAUUUAUGUCUAGUAUAAAGAGUUUAAAUUAUAACUAUUUCUGAAAUUAUAACUAUUUCUGAAAUUGCAAUUUCAUGGAUAUUGAAUGUCAUGAAAUACUUGCUUCUGAUGAGAUCUUGCUCCAGUGAGGUCAGUGGCAGUAAAAUUUCGUCCUUUUUUUUUUUAUAAUUCUAGAAAGACUGUAUACCACUCAUAAGUACAAAUGCAGCCCGAGGUUUAGAUUGGAAUGUGUUAUAUGAGGCACAUUGUCUUUUAACAUUGUUAUUUGUGUGAAGAUUGAAUCAGUUCUGUAUGCGUGUGUGUGUGUAUGUGUAUGUAUUGCACUUUUACAUGCUCCAGUGGUGGUUAUGUGAAGAAGAAGCUUAAAAAAAAAAAAGUCAUCUUAGUUAUCUCAACCCCUGGUAGUUGAUGCUGGAGUGACUGAGAAGUUUAUCAUCUCUAGAUGAGUUCUUCUUUCUUAUGGAAUGGAACCCCUACAGUAGAAAUUAUGGGCCAGGUGGUAUGUUUCAUCCUCAGGCAUUUCUCUUCCCAGCUAAGUGCAUUGAGAUCAGUUGGUUUCACUUUGGUAAUGCACUAGGCUGUGAACUGCAGCUGGGAAGAGCUUUGCUUCAUAAUCUUUGUUUCAUUUAUCUGAGGCAGUUGAGGUUGUUGCCAGUAGUUCUGAUCUGUUUAAUCACUGCUGUUAAAUCCAAUAACAAUCAUGAAUUGGAUCACACAGAAAUUGUUUUAUUUCAAAGUGUGCAUUUGCCACUGACAAAAUAGAAGGAAAAUAACAAUACCUCUAAUUAUGUUUAAAGUAGAUGUGAAAAUAUUUUAAAACAAACUUACUUAUUGCUGAAGCAGUUUUGAGGGGAGGAUUAAGCAUGUAGUUUAAGUAUGAAAAAUAGGAAAUUAAUUUAUUCUGAGCAUUUGGAAGGAGAUAAAAAUACUGUGAUUACUACCUGCUUAAAACAAAUACUUUUGUUCAUCAUUUAGCAAAGUGGAUUCUGGUAUGCGCUUAGUUGGCUAGAACUCUUAAGCACUUUGAUAGAAAAAACUGAAUCGUGUAUUUAGGACAACAGUACAUCUUUUAAGGAGCAUAAGGUAUUUUUAGUCAGUGCAGAACUAAUCUACAUGUACUUCCAGAUUCCAUCACAAAGCAAAGAGUAAUUAAGUAAAUGAUCAUAGAACCUAUAUUUUGCUAAACAAGCAAAAGAUUCUAAGAAAUAUUACUAAUAUGUGGUAUACAUGUGACAUUUAUUUUGUUUCCCUUAUUAGAAAAUCAGUAUCUUUACAUCAUUUCCAUUAAGCCCAAAUUUAAAAAACAAAUCUGUUAUUCUUAAAUAAUUCUUAGAGUAUCCUAACUUAUUGUAUCAUAUCAUCACUUGUUGUAUAUCUGUGUGGGCUUAUUCUUUUAUAAACUUAGGGAGAUAAAGCUCUAAAAACUUAAAAUCUGUUUUUAAUUCAGGAGGUUAUUUGGUCUCACAUACUCAUUUGUUCAGGAAAGUAGAUGUGCAAGGUUUUCUUCCCCUGUCCCAGUUUAUUUUCUAUGGAAUUAUUUAAAAAUUUAACCUGAUCUUAAAAGCUGGAGGGUGAACCUGUGAAAAUACAGUGUCUCUGAAAAUACAGGCAAACUUUCAGGGUUCUGUUUAUAGCGUUAGACCCUUCUACAAUAAAAUGAACAAGCAGA